AAAAAUGGCCGAAGCGAGCGAAAACAGGGAUGAAGAAGACAGUGUGAUCAACAUUCUCAAAAACUGUAGUAUCCAAAAAACGCGACUGCAAUGGUUAGAUGGUUACUCUGAGGAAAGAACAGCAACAGGAAGGACUUUUGUGGAAUUGCCUUGUGGUCAUCGAAGGCCAGCACAUUACAUCAUCGCUUGGUUCAAGUAUUAUCUUAAACAGGUAG